UAGGGAAUCUUCCACAAUGAGCGCAAGCCUGAUGGAGCAACACCGCGUGAGUGAAGAAGGGUUUCGGCUCGUAAAGCUCUGUUGUUAAAGAAGAACACGUAUGAGAGUAACUGUUCAUACGUUGACGGUAUUUAACCAGAAAGUCACGGCUAACUACGUUCCAG
rnacentral:rRNA from 1 species